AAAUUUAAUAGGCAAACCCGGAGUGAUCCGGUGACGCAAAGCUAUAGGGACUUUUUUAAGUUAGCCAGUUGCAUAA
rnacentral:ncRNA from 2 species